GACGAACGCUGGCGGCGUGCUUAACACAUGCAAGUCGAACGGAAAGGCCCUGCUUUUGUGGGGUGCUCGAGUGGCGAACGGGUGAGUAACACGUGAGUAACCUGCCCUUGACUUUGGGAUAACUUCAGGAAACUGGGGCUAAUACCGGAUAGGAGCUCCUGCUGCAUGGUGGGGGUUGGAAAGUUUCGGCGGUUGGGGAUGGACUCGCGGCUUAUCAGCUUGUUGGUGGGGUAGUGGCUUACCAAGGCUUUGACGGGUAGCCGGCCUGAGAGGGUGACCGGCCACAUUGGGACUGAGAUACGGCCCAGACUCCUACGGGAGGCAGAAGUGGGGAAUAUUGCACGAUGGGCGGAAGCCUGAUGCAGCAACGCCGCGUGCGGGAUGACGGCCUUAGGGUUGUAGACCGCUUUCGCCUGUGACGAAGCGUGAGUGAAGGUAAUGGGUAAAGAAGCACCGGCUAACUACGUG
rnacentral:rRNA from 1 species